rnacentral:lncRNA from 1 species
UUCCUCAUCAGCACCGGUGACACCUCUUAUCUCGUCAUCUAUUCCAACUGUUGCGCUUCAGUCUCCCCUGAAUCUAUAACGCUCCCAUGGCACUCUGAUGCGGGAGGAUUUGUUCGAUGUCUGGGUUGUCGGAUAAAAACAGUUCGACGCAAGGAUGGUGAACAUUGAUAUCUUCAGGGGUCGGGAGUCGACUCAGUUUAGUUGACUCAGUUUAAUUAAUGAUUAAACUGUAAUUACUAAUUUAUUUUGGAUAUGAGAUUUUUGGUUAAUCAGUG